CAAUAGCGUAUAUUAAAGUUGUUGCAGUUAAAAAGCUCGUAGUUGGAUUUCUGGUUCGAAUGUCCGGUCCGCUUGUAACUUGUUUGCGAGUGCGUACUAUGGAUGUUUGGGCCAUUUUUUGUGAGGAAAUUUACCUGUCAUUAAGUUGAUGGGUUUAUAGACUUGCAUCGUUUACUGUGAAAAAAUUAGAGUGUUUAAAGCAGGCGUUCGCUUCUUGAAUACAUUAGCAUGGAAUAAUAAGAUACGACUUUGGUGGUCUAUUUUGUUGGUUUGCACGCCAGAGUAAUGAUUAAUAGGGACAGUUGGGGGUAUUCAUAUUUCAGCGUCAGAGGUGAAAUUCUUGGAUCGCUGAAAGAUGAGCUUAGGCGAAAGCAUUUACCAAGGAUGUUUUCAUUAA
rnacentral:rRNA from 1 species